rnacentral:lncRNA from 13 species
GGCAAGUGCAAAAGGCCUGAGCUGGAACAAGCUCAUUGUGUUCUAAGAACAGAACGUCAAUGUGGUGAUUUCAUAGAGAAAAGAAAUGCUCCAAGGUGAAGCUGCAGAAACAAGCAUGGAAUCAAGUCAUGCAGGAGCUUGUGAGCUUUGAUAAAGGGGUUGGGUUUUACUCUAACAAGAGUUGAAAGUCAUGAGAAGAUUUUGACGGGGAAGUGAUACAGGGCGGAGGCUUUUCGGAGAAUGACUUUUGGUGGUCAGAGUAGAAGCCUCUUAGGCAGCUAUUAUAGUUUUCCAGAGAGAGGACAAGGUGGUGAUUGGACCUCGGAGCAUUUCAAACUGAAGACUGAGAAGAACAUGCACUGGUAGUUGCUGGUCCAAGGAGAGUGUGAAGUGGGACAAACCUGAAUCCAACCCAAAUGCAGAAGCCAAGCCCAGCUAAAUGCCACCUAGAGUAGAGCCACGUUAGUCUGCAGAUCUGUGAACAAGAAAAAUAAAUUCUUAUCAUUGCCAUUCA